rnacentral:rRNA from 1 species
AGGCAUGCAAGUCGAGCGAGUCUACUUUGUAGCAAUAUGAAGUAAGUCGAGCGGCGUAAGGGGCAGUAAUACCUGGGAACGUACCCUGAGGUCGGGGAUAGCUGCUGGAAACGGCGAGUAAUACCCGAUGAUCUUGGAAAAGCAAAGGCUUGCCGCCUUAGGAGCGGCCCAGGCGAUAUUAGCUAGUUGGUGGGGUAAUGGCCUACCAAGGCAUAGAUGUCUAGCGGGUGUGAGAGCACGACCCGCGCCACUGGCACUGAGACACUGGCCAGACACCUACGGGUGGCUGCAGUCGAGAAUCUUCGGCAAUGAGCGCAAGCUUGACCGAGCGACGCCGCGUGCGGGAUGAAGGCCUUCGGGUUGUAAACCGCUUUGGUCCGAAAGAAAGGGUAAAACUUGAUCGAUCGGAGAAGCAAGGACGGGCUAAGUUCGUGCCAGCAGCCGCGGUAAGACGAACCGUCCAAACGUUAUUCGGAAUCACUGGGCUUAAAGGGCGCGUAGGCGGCCGAGCGGGUCGUGGGUGAAAUCCCCCAGCUUAACUGGGGAACUGCUUACGAUACCACUCGGCUCGAGGAAGGAAGGGGCAAUUGGAACUGUCGGUGGAGCGGUGAAAUGCGUUGAUAUCGACAGGAACGCCUGUGGCGAAAGCGAAUUGCUGGUCCUUUUCUGACACUGAGGCGCGAAAGCCAGGGGAGCAAACGGGAUUAGAUACCCCGGUAGUCCUGGCCUUAAACGAUGAGAACUAGGUAGUGGGUCCGACCUGGGCACACUGCCGAAGCGAAAGUCUUAAGUUCUCCGCCUGGGGGAGUAUGGUCGCAAGGCUGAAACUCAAAGGAAUUGACGGGGGCUCACACAAGCGGUGGAGCAUGUGGCUUAAUUCGAGGCUACGCGAAGAACCUUAUCCUGGGCUUGACAUGUGCGAAAGCG